GAACGCACCUUGCACCCUUUGGUAUUCCGAAGGGUAUGCCUGUUUGAGUGUCAUUAAAUUCUCAACUUCAAAAGGGUUUGUGCUUUUUUGAAGCUUGGACUAUGGGAGCUUGCUGGUAUCACUAUCAGCUCUUCUUAAAUGCAUUAGCGGAACUGUGAAGGACCAGCUUUGGUUUGAUAAUCCUAUCUAUGCCGUUGCUGUGGACUUGUGUGUUCAGCUUCUAAUUGUCUUCGGACUGCCUUCCAGGCAUACACUUUUAAGCUUGACCUCAAAUCAGGUAGGACUACCCGCUGAACUUAAG
rnacentral:misc_RNA from 1 species